rnacentral:rRNA from 1 species
UACAGAGGGGGCAAGCGUUGUUCGGAAUUAUUGGGCGUAAAGCGCUUGUAGGCGGUCUGUUAAGUCGCGUGUGAAAUCCCCCAGGCUUAACCUGGGAAGUGCGCGCGAAACUGGCGGACUUGAGUGCCGGAGAGGGUCGCGGAAUUCCCGGUGUAGAGGUGAAAUUCGUAGAUAUCGGGAGGAACACCAGUGGCGAAGGCGGCGACCUGGACGGACACUGACGCUGAGACGGCGAAAGCGUGGGGAGCAAACAGGG